CGGAAACGACCGCNAAUACCGCAUACGCCCUCCGGGGGAAAGAUUUAUCGCUAAGAGAUGGACCCGCGUUGGAUUAGAUAGUUGGUGAGGUAACGGCUCACCAAGUCAGCGAUCCAUAGCUGGUUUGAGAGGAUGAUCAGCCACACUGGGACUGAGACACGGCCCAGACUCCUACGGGAGGCAGCAGUGGGGAACAUUGGACAAUGGGCGGANGCCUGAUCCAGCCAUGCCGCGUGAAUGAAGAAGGCCUUCGGGUUGUAAAGCUCUUUCAGAUGCGAAGAUGAUGACGGUAACAUCAGAAGAAGCCCCGGCUAAUUUCGUGCCAGCAGCCGCGGUAAUACGAAAGGGGCAAGCGUUGUUCGGAUUUACUGGGCGUAAAGGGCACGCAGGCGGUCUUGCCAGUCAGGGGUGAAAGCCCGGGGCUCAACCCCGGAACUGCCUCUGAUACUGCAGGACUAGAGACUAGGAGAGGGUGGUGGAAUUCCCAGUGUA
rnacentral:rRNA from 1 species